CGGAUUGUAGUCUGNAACCGACUACAUGAAGCUGGAAUCGCUAGUAAUCGCGGAUCAGAAUGCCGCGGUGAAUACGUUCCCGGGUCUUGUACACACCGCCCGUCACACCAUGGGAGUCGGAAAUGCCCGAAGUCUGUGACCCAACCGGAAGGAGGGAGCAGCCGAAGGCAGGUCGGAUGACUGGGGUGAAGUCGUAACAAGGUACC
rnacentral:rRNA from 1 species